CGCAGCUAUCUGCAGUCGAGGGGCAGCAGGGUUGUAGCAAUACAAUCGCUGGCGACCGGCAAACGGGUGCGGAACACGUACGCAACCUUCCUUCAAAUGAGGAAUAGCCUUUCGAAAGAGAGAUUAAUACCUCGUAACAUUUUCUGGUGGCAUCACUGGAUUAUUAUAGCUCCGGCGUUUGAAGAUGGGCGUGCGCCUGAUUAGGUAGUUGGCGGAGUAAUAGCCCACCAAGCCUACGAUCAGUAACUGGUGUGAGAGCACGACCAGUCACACGGGCACUGAGACACGGGCCCGACUCCUACGGGAGGCAGCAGUAAGGAAUAUUGGUCAAUGGACGCAAGUCUGAACCAGCCAUGCCGCGUGGAGGAUGAAGGUCCUCUGGAUUGUAAACUUCUUUUAUCGGAGAAGAAACCCUUGCAUUCUUGCGAGGUUGACGGUACCCGAUGAAUAAGCACCGGCUAACUCCGUGCCAGCAGCCGCGGUAAUACGGAGGGUGCAAGCGUUAUCCGGAUUCACUGGGUUUAAAGGGAGCGUAGGUGGGGCGGUAAGUCAGUGGUGAAAUCUCCGGGCUUAACUCGGAAACUGCCGUUGAUACUAACGUUCUUGAAUAUUGUGGAGGUAAGCGGAAUAUGUCAUGUAGCGGUGAAAUGCUUAGAUAUGACAUAGAACACCGAUAGCGAAGGCAGCUUGCUACACAAUUAUUGACACUGAGGCUCGAAAGCGUGGGGAUCAAACAGGAUUAGAUACCCUGGUAGUCCACGCCCUAAACGAUGGAUACUCGACAUACGCGAUACACAGUGUGUGUCUGAGCGAAAGCAUUAAGUAUCCCACCUGGGAAGUACGACCGCAA
rnacentral:rRNA from 1 species